GACAAAGCUUGCUUCUAUUCCCCCAAACACAUUUGCCAGUUUGCCCAACAUUUCUCAUGUAUUCCUGCCUGCUCACUGAGGUUGCUGCAUCAGGGACACUCUGGGUGGCUCUGUGCCGCAGCUUGUUUGGCAGUCCAUCGGCUGAAUCAUACCUUCCUCAGAGAAGAUGAACUGAACUGUUAACCAGAGUGUCAGUAGGCAGCGCCCUGCCUCCCCCCUGCAGCCGCAGUGGUCCGCAGAUCCACAGCAACCAACUUCUGUUCAGAUAUGUGUUUUGGGUUAAUAAAC